UUCAGUGUGAAAAACCAUCUUGCAUCAAACUGUUUGUCAUCUAUUUCCAAAACUGGGUCUCUUAGACAAUUUAACUAUGUUUUUGUGCUCAUCAAAGGAAAGCCAAGGAAAGCAGGGGCCUGACUCUUCUGACCAAGUUGUUACAUCGACCUUGCAAAGGGCGGCGCGUCCCAACCUCUAGUCUCCUAUUACCAAUUGCAGCAGACUUGGACUAAUGGAAUUGCUUGAAGUGAAGACCAGUGAACAAAAGGCUUUACACAAAAAGAAUUGUUGACCUCUUUCGGGAUAAGGCCCGGAAGAAGCAGGGAUUGAACCAGGGCUUGUUGACACAGCAGAUAUCAAAAGCCUAUGUUAUCUCAUUUUCAGGGACCGAGCAAGGGAUGAGCGCCCUCUGAUCUAACGUCCAAACAAACAACUGCCCUUGUUACUAGAAAUAUGAAGCGUGCUAGCGCGCACUUCCUAUUAACCAAUUCACCAAUUUUAAGAUUUGUAAACAAAGAUAAUAGGAGCCGAAGUCAAUCCCUUAAAACACUCCUCCCCGAGGGGACGUUAUCGGUCGCUUCGUUCCCUUGUUUACUGAUCUCUUUUCAGGAGAUAGGUCUACCGUUGCAAACUCAUCUGCUUGUAAAUUCAUUGUGUAAAAUAACUCGUAAAUUCAUUGUGCCAGAAUUGAUCACUGAUCAGGUGUGAUCAGUCUCAUCCGUCUAAGAGACUGAUCCGGUGCGAUGAGUCUCAUCCGUGUAAUAUUUUGGAAUUCCUCUUCCAACUCGUCCCGGAAUGGGCGUUAUGGCAAAGAACAAGAAGAAAAAGAAAGAAGGAACUUGUCCAAUAGUAACAAAUGGUGCCUCCACAGGUUGACAUCUGAUCCAACCUAGUAGUAAGCAAUCCGCCAAAAGCAACCAAAAUAUUCCUUGGUGAAUCGGUCGAAAACUUGAACUACGCACAUACAUUUCUUUAAAAAAAGGUAAAGCCAAGAGAUAUAAAAACUGGUGCUAUUGCGGCUACACCUGGAGUGAGCCCACAAGAGCUUUUACUGUACCAGUUCCGAAUAUAAGAAGGGGCUCGCGGAUUUUAACAGGUUAGGCUUAAUCUACCCAAUUGGAAAUCUCUUGCAGUAGCUUUUACUAGAAAUCCAUUUCUCCCACAAAGCUCCUGUGACCUAACCAUCUAGAUAGAAGCCUCGCAAAGAGUAUAUGCCGAAAAUCCUAUGUUUGGAGUGACCAUGAACACUGCUUGAGACCCUUCUUUCGUGAGAGUUGUGAUUCCGCUUUCAUGUUUUGGAUUGAGCUUUAAGUGGAUUGGAGGCGGGCAUUUUCAUUUCAACGUAGCAGUAGGGAAAGUGAUUUCGGGGGGUUAGUACACAUGGGCAGUUGGGACAGUUACAGGUAGUUAAGUUCGGUCUUAUUCUUAUGGGCAAGUGGUCCUAGAAUCUCUCUUUCCUUCUCUAAAGUAUAGCUUUAUGAAACUAGAAUAUGAGUAAAUAUAGAAAUAGAAUAAUAAGAAUAUCAUAUAGCCGUGUAUUGGUUUUGAUCCCAGUUUUAUCCUACAUGGCGGCUGAGUCAGCGUGGGACCCACGUGGACCCACAUGUCAGCAUGCCACGUUAUCUCUUCUUUCUUCCCUUUUCUUCUCUUUUCUCUUUUAUUUUCUUCUCUUCUCUUGUGAGGGUAGGCGGAGGCGGAGGCGGAGGCGGUGGCGCACGCCGUUCAGAAUGACCGCCUCCCCGUGCGCUCCGUGCUGCAGAUGCUCUUUUCCGAGCACGGCAAGCUCAACCGCCUCGCCGAGCUCAGCGGCGGUGCCUCCUUCGGCGCGCCCAGCCUGGUAUUCGACCUCCCCGGCGCCCGCUGCCCUCCAAGCGCGAGGUGCUCGCCCAGCACCACGAGCUCCGCCGCCUCCGCGAGGACUUCGCCCGCCUCCAGGUCCAGUGCAGCGCG